UACGGAGUGUGCAAGCGUUACUCGGAAUCACUGGGCAUAAAGGGCGUGUAGGCGGGCUUUCAAGUCGGUUGUGAAAUCCCUCAGCUCAACUGAGGAACUGCAUCCGAUACUGUUUGUCUUGAGGACGAGAGGGGAGAGUGGAACUUCUGGUGGAGCGGUGAAAUGCGUAGAUAUCAGAAGGAACGCCGGUGGCGAAGGCGGCACUCUGGGCCGGUACUGACGCUGAGGAGCGAAAGCGUGGGUAGCAAACAGG
rnacentral:rRNA from 1 species